UUAAGCGACUAAGCGUACACGGUGGAUGCCCUGGCAGUCAGAGGCGAUGAAGGACGUGCUAAUCUGCGAUAAGCGUCGGUAAGGUGAUAUGAACCGUUAUAACCGGCGAUUUCCGAAUGGGGAAACCCAGUGUGAUUCGUCACACUAUCAUUAACUGAAUCCAUAGGUUAAUGAGGCGAACCGGGGGAACUGAAACAUCUAAGUACCCCGAGGAAAAGAAAUCAACCGAGAUUCCCCCAGUAGCGGCGAGCGAACGGGGAGCAGCCCAGAGCCUGAAUCAGUAUGUGUGUUAGUGGAAGCGUCUGGAAAGGCGCGCGAUACAGGGUGACAGCCCCGUACACAAAAAUGCACAUGCUGUGAGCUCGAUGAGUAGGGCGGGACACGUGGUAUCCUGUCUGAAUAUGGGGGGACCAUCCUCCAAGGCUAAAUACUCCUGACUGACCGAUAGUGAACCAGUACCGUGAGGGAAAGGCGAAAAGAACCCCGGCGAGGGGAGUGAAAAAGAACCUGAAACCGUGUACGUACAAGCAGUGGGAGCACAGAGCAAUCUGUGUGACUGCGUACCUUUUGUAUAAUGGGUCAGCGACUUAUAUUCUGUAGCAAGGUUAACCGAAUAGGGGAGCCGAAGGGAAACCGAGUCUUAACUGGGCGUUAAGUUGCAGGGUAUAGACCCGAAACCCGGUGAUCUAGCCAUGGGCAGGUUGAAGGUUGGGUAACACUAACUGGAGGACCGAACCGACUAAUGUUGAAAAAUUAGCGGAUGACUUGUGGCUGGGGGUGAAAGGCCAAUCAAACCGGGAGAUAGCUGGUUCUCCCCGAAAGCUAUUUAGGUAGCGCCUCGUGAAUUCAUCUCCGGGGGUAGAGCACUGUUUCGGCAAGGGGGUCAUCCCGACUUACCAACCCGAUGCAAACUGCGAAUACCGGAGAAUGUUAUCACGGGAGACACACGGCGGGUGCUAACGUCCGUCGUGAAGAGGGAAACAACCCAGACCGCCAGCUAAGGUCCCAAAGUCAUGGUUAAGUGGGAAACGAUGUGGGAAGGCCCAGACAGCCAGGAUGUUGGCUUAGAAGCAGCCAUCAUUUAAAGAAAGCGUAAUAGCUCACUGGUCGAGUCGGCCUGCGCGGAAGAUGUAACGGGGCUAAACCAUGCACCGAAGCUGCGGCAGCGACGCUGAUGCGUUGUUGGGUAGGGGAGCGUUCUGUAAGCCUGUGAAGGUGUGCUGUGAGGCAUGCUGGAGGUAUCAGAAGUGCGAAUGCUGACAUAAGUAACGAUAAAGCGGGUGAAAAGCCCGCUCGCCGGAAGACCAAGGGUUCCUGUCCAACGUUAAUCGGGGCAGGGUGAGUCGACCCCUAAGGCGAGGCCGAAAGGCGUAGUCGAUGGGAAACAGGUUAAUAUUCCUGUACUUGGUGUUACUGCGAAGGGGGGACGGAGAAGGCUAUGUUGGCCGGGCGACGGUUGUCCCGGUUUAAGCGUGUAGGCUGGUUUUCCAGGCAAAUCCGGAAAACUAAGGCUGAGGCGUGAUGACGAGGCACUACGGUGCUGAAGCAACAAAUGCCCUGCUUCCAGGAAAAGCCUCUAAGCAUCAGGUAACAUCAAAUCGUACCCCAAACCGACACAGGUGGUCAGGUAGAGAAUACCAAGGCGCUUGAGAGAACUCGGGUGAAGGAACUAGGCAAAAUGGUGCCGUAACUUCGGGAGAAGGCACGCUGAUAUGUAGGUGAAGUCCCUCGCGGAUGGAGCUGAAAUCAGUCGAAGAUACCAGCUGGCUGCAACUGUUUAUUAAAAACACAGCACUGUGCAAACACGAAAGUGGACGUAUACGGUGUGACGCCUGCCCGGUGCCGGAAGGUUAAUUGAUGGGGUCAGCGCAAGCGAAGCUCUUGAUCGAAGCCCCGGUAAACGGCGGCCGUAACUAUAACGGUCCUAAGGUAGCGAAAUUCCUUGUCGGGUAAGUUCCGACCUGCACGAAUGGCGUAAUGAUGGCCAGGCUGUCUCCACCCGAGACUCAGUGAAAUUGAACUCGCUGUGAAGAUGCAGUGUACCCGCGGCAAGACGGAAAGACCCCGUGAACCUUUACUAUAGCUUGACACUGAACAUUGAGCCUUGAUGUGUAGGAUAGGUGGGAGGCUUUGAAGUGUGGACGCCAGUCUGCAUGGAGCCGACCUUGAAAUACCACCCUUUAAUGUUUGAUGUUCUAACGUUGACCCGUAAUCCGGGUUGCGGACAGUGUCUGGUGGGUAGUUUGACUGGGGCGGUCUCCUCCUAAAGAGUAACGGAGGAGCACGAAGGUUGGCUAAUCCUGGUCGGACAUCAGGAGGUUAGUGCAAUGGCAUAAGCCAGCUUGACUGCGAGCGUGACGGCGCGAGCAGGUGCGAAAGCAGGUCAUAGUGAUCCGGUGGUUCUGAAUGGAAGGGCCAUCGCUCAACGGAUAAAAGGUACUCCGGGGAUAACAGGCUGAUACCGCCCAAGAGUUCAUAUCGACGGCGGUGUUUGGCACCUCGAUGUCGGCUCAUCACAUCCUGGGGCUGAAGUAGGUCCCAAGGGUAUGGCUGUUCGCCAUUUAAAGUGGUACGCGAGCUGGGUUUAGAACGUCGUGAGACAGUUCGGUCCCUAUCUGCCGUGGGCGCUGGAGAACUGAGGGGGGCUGCUCCUAGUACGAGAGGACCGGAGUGGACGCAUCACUGGUGUUCGGGUUGUCAUGCCAAUGGCACUGCCCGGUAGCUAAAUGCGGAAGAGAUAAGUGCUGAAAGCAUCUAAGCACGAAACUUGCCCCGAGAUGAGUUCUCCCUGACUCCUUGAGAGUCCUGAAGGAACGUUGAAGACGACGACGUUGAUAGGCCGGAUGUGUAAGCGCAGCGAUGCGUUGAGCUAACCGGUACUAAUGAACCGUGAGGCUUAACCU
rnacentral:rRNA from 1 species